rnacentral:rRNA from 1 species
AGAACGUACGCUGGCGGCACGCCUAACACAUGCAAGUCGAACGAAGUAGCAAUACUUAGUGGCAGACGGGUGAGUAACAUGUAGGUAUCUGCCCUUUGGCCUGGAAUAACACGAGGAAACUUGUGCUAAUACUGGAUAAGUCUUUACGGAGAAAGCUUUAUGCACCAUUGGAUGAGCCUGCACUUGAUUAGUUAGUUGGUAGGGUAAAAGCCUACCAAGACUUUGAUCAAUAGCUGAUUUGAGAGGAUGAUCAGCCACAUUGGGACUGAGACACGGCCCAAACUCCUACGGGAGGCAGCAGUGGGGAAUCUUGCACAAUGGAGGAAACUCUGAUGCAGCGAUGCCGCGUGAGUGAAGAAGGCCCUUGGGUUGUAAAGCUCUUUCGUCGGGGAAGAAAAUGACUGUACCCGAAUAAGAAGGUCCGGCUAACUUCGUGCCAGCAGCCGCGGUAAUACGAAGGGACCUAGCGUAGUUCGGAAUUACUGGGCUUAAAGAGUUCGUAGGUGGUUGAAAAAGUUGGUGGUGAAAUCCCAGAGCUUAACUCUGGAACUGCCAUCAAAACUUUUCAGCUAGAGUUUGAUAGAGGAAAGCAGAAUUUCUAGUGUAGAGGUGAAAUUCGUAGAUACUAGAAAGAAUACCAA